rnacentral:rRNA from 1 species
UACGUAGGGUGCAAGCGUUAAUCGGAAUUACUGGACGUAAAGCGUGCGCAGGCGGUUAUGUAAGACAGUUGUGAAAUCCCCGGGCUCAACCUGGGAACUGCAUCUGUGACUGCAUAGCUAGAGUACGGUAGAGGGGGAUGGAAUUCCGCGUGUAGCAGUGAAAUGCGUAGAUAUGCGGAGGAACACCGAUGGCGAAGGCAAUCCCCUGGACCUGUACUGACGCUCAUGCACGAAAGCGUGGGGAGCAAACAGG